AUUGAACGCUGGCGGCAGGCCUAACACAUGCAAGUCGAGCGAGUGGCGGACGGGUGAGUAAUGUCUGGGGAACUGCCCGAUAGAGGGGGAUAACUACUGGAAACGGUGGCUAAUACCGCAUACCAUCGGAUGUACCCAUAUGGGAUUAGCUAGUAGGUGGGGUAAAGGCUCACCUAGGCGACGAUCCCUAGCUGGUCUGAGAGGAUGACCAGCCACACUGGGACUGAGACACGGGCCAGACUCCUACGGGAGGCAGCAGUGGGGAAUAUUGCACAAUGGGCGCAAGCCUGAUGCAGCCAUGCCGCGUGUAUGAAGAAGGCCUUCGGGUUGUAAAGUACUUUCAGCGGGGAGGCGUUACCCGCAGAAGAAGCACCGGCUAACUCCGUGCCAGCAGCCGCGGUAAUAC
rnacentral:rRNA from 1 species